UUUAGCUCAGUUGGUAGAGCAACUGACUCUUAAUCAGUGGGUCCCGGGUUCGAGUCCCUGAAGG
rnacentral:tRNA from 1 species